UGCGAACUCCUACGGGAGGCAGCAGUGGGGAAUUUUGGACAAUGGGGGCAACCCUGAUCCAGCAAUGCCGCGUGAGUGAAGAGGCCCUAGGGUUGUAAAGCUCUUUCACCGGUGAAGAUAAUGACGGUAACCGGAGAAGAAGCCCCGGCUAACUUCGUGCCAGCAGCCGCGGUAAUACGAAGGGGGCUAGCGUUGUUCGGAUUUACUGGGCGUAAAGCGCACGUAGGCGGACUUUUAAGUCAGGGGUGAAAUCCCGGGGCUCAACCCCGGAACUGCCUUUGAUACUGGAAGUCUUGAGUAUGGAAGAGGUAAGUGGAAUUGCGAGUGUAGAGGUGAAAUUCGUAGAUAUUCGCAGGAACACCAGUGGCGAAGGCGGCUUACUGGUCCAUUACUGACGCUGAGGUGCGAAAGCGUGGGGAGCAAACAGGAUUAGAAACCCUAGUAGUCCAGAUG
rnacentral:rRNA from 1 species